rnacentral:lncRNA from 10 species
UUUUAGCAACAGGAGCCAAACUUGGAUUCACCCUGAUAAAGCAGACAUUUGGGACUUCAUGUGAUCUAAUUGCUCUGAGCUGUUCCUUAAUCCCCAAUCGCUAAACCUUUGCAUCGUUGCCCACAAUGGCAUAAACUACCUUGAUCCAGGAUUGCAAAAUGGUCCACCCAACAAAGAAGCCUCAUAAUUGUUGAUGUGGCUGAGAUUCUCUAAUGCACCCUCCCUUGUUUUUAUUUGUUGUUCUAAGAAUUAUUUAAGUAAAAGAACAAAGCAAAUCUUAAACUUGUCUCUGUGAUAAGGUGAACCUCGGAAGGCGAAGUCCAUUUCUUCAUUCAUCUCUGCAUUCACAGCAACAGGUGGGCUCUAUCAGUCUGACUGGUGUCCUCAUAGGAGGAAAUUUGGACACACAAAGAGACACCAGGGAUGUGCAUGCAUGGAGAAAAGACCAUUUGAAGACACAAGGACAGGGAGAAGGUGGCUGUCUGCAAGCCCAGGAGCGAGGCCUCAGGAAAAACCAGACAUGUGGACACCUUGUGCUUGGACUUCUAGCAUCCAGAACAUAAGAAAAUACAUUUCUGUUGUCUAAGGCACCCAUUCUGUGGUGCUUUAUUAUGGCAGCCCUUGCAAACUAAUACAUAUAUUAAAAUAAAACGAGCCAGAAGUGGUGGCCUGCACCUGCAGUCCCAUCUACUUGAAAGGCUGAGGCAGGAGGACUGCUUUGAGCCCAGGAGGUCGAGGUUACAGUGAGCUGUGAUUGCACCACUGCACUCCAGCCUGGGCAAGAGUGAGACCCUGUUUCUAAACACAGACACACACACCCCUAAAACAGAUCUAUAUUAAAAUGCUUUGUCUUGAUGUUUUUAUCAGGUCUAAAACAAGGCUUUUGGCAACAUGAGACUCAUACUUGGUCCAGAACUUUGAAGCAGCUGCAUUUGAAAGACUUUUAGGUUUUCUUCGCUUGUCACCAAAAUCUGUUACAAAUUCCAAUGUGCAAUAGAAUUUGUGUAUUAAAACAAAUUUAUAUGACCAA